CCCCUGAUAAGGGGGAGGUCGGUGGUUCAAGUCCACUCAGGCCUACCA
rnacentral:tRNA from 1 species